rnacentral:rRNA from 1 species
AGAGUUUGAUCCUGGCUCAGGACGAACGCUGGCGGCGUGCCUAAUACAUGCAAGUCGAGCGGACCGACGGGAGCUUGCUCCCUUAGGUCAGCGGCGGACGGGUGAGUAACACGUGGGUAACCUGCCUGUAAGACUGGGAUAACUCCGGGAAACCGGGGCUAAUACCGGAUGCUUGAUUGAACCGCAUGGUUCAAUCAUAAAAGGUGGCUUUUAGCUACCACUUGCAGAUGGACCCGCGGCGCAUUAGCUAGUUGGUGAGGUAACGGCUCACCAAGGCGACGAUGCGUAGCCGACCUGAGAGGGUGAUCGGCCACACUGGGACUGAGACACGGCCCAGACUCCUACGGGAGGCAGCAGUAGGGAAUCUUCCGCAAUGGACGAAAGUCUGACGGAGCAACGCCGCGUGAGUGAUGAAGGUUUUCGGAUCGUAAAACUCUGUUGUUAGGGAAGAACAAGUACCGUUCGAAUAGGGCGGUACCUUGACGGUACCUAACCAGAAAGCCACGGCUAACUACGUGCCAGCAGCCGCGGUAAUACGUAGGUGGCAAGCGUUGUCCGGA